GCCAGGCGUGGUGGCACGUGCCUGUAGUCCCAGCUACACAGGUGGUUGAGGUGGGAGAAUCGCUGGAGUCCAGGAGUUCGGGGCUGCAGUGCGCUACGCUGAUCCGGUGUCCACACUAAAGUUCAACAUCAAUACGGUAACCUCCUGGGAGUGGGGACCACCAGGGUGCCUAAGGAGGGAUGAACUGGCCCAGGUCAGAAAUGGAGCAGGUCAAAACUCCCAUGCUGAUUAGAAAAUUGCAUUUUGAUACAGAGCAUGCAAGCAUACAUGUACAUACAUACAUAUUUUACUUCCA
rfam:Fukomys damarensis contig135713, whole genome shotgun sequence.